UACCAGCACCCCGAGUGGUCGGGACGAUUAUUGGGCCUAAAGCAUCCGUAGCCGGUUCUGCAAGUCCCCCGUUAAAAUCCAGCUGCUCAACAGAUGGGCCGCGGAGGAUACUACAGAGCUAGGAGGCAGGAGAGGCAAGCGGUACUCAGUGGGUAGGGGUAAAAAUCCGUUGAUCCAUUGAAGACCACCAGUGGCGAAGCGGCUUACUGGUCCGGUUCUGGCGCUGAGGCGCGAAAAGCGUGGGGGAGCAA
rnacentral:rRNA from 1 species